CGUUGAUUACGUCCCUGCCCUUUGUACACACCGCCCGUCGCUACUACCGAUUGAAUGGCUCAGUGAGGCCUUGGGAUUGGCCAGGGGAGGUGGGCGACCACCACCCCAGGC
rnacentral:rRNA from 1 species